rnacentral:misc_RNA from 1 species
AAGUCGUAACAAGGUUUCCGUAGGUGAACCUGCGGAAGGAUCAUUACAGCGUAUCCACGUACCAAACUCUCGAACUGUUCCCAACGGAGUAAACCUCUUGUGGAUGAAGUUUAUGAUUGACUGUCUUUCGCUGAUGGAGUACACUGAUUUCGAUCGGUGGACUGAAAGACUUUCGGUCGCCGGAGCUCGCUCUGGGACUUCGUUUGCUCCGUUGCGGUUUUACCGUCAGCGUGUUUUACCCAUUAUUAACCCUUUGACCUUUUGAACUGAACUUGACAACCUCGCAGCAGUCCUUGCUGGCUUCGGUCACGGACUUUGCGGCUUGGUAAUCAUUUUACGAAACAAAGAACAACUCUUAGCAACGGAUAUCUUGGUUCUC